rnacentral:lncRNA from 1 species
UUGGGCAAGAGAUGUUGGACACAAUAUAAUUUUGGAAGAUUGGGAAAGGCUGUGGAAGAAAGGGGUUAAGUUUACUGCAUGUACUGUAUUAAAAGAAAAUAUUAUGAAAAUGAUGCAUAGAUGGUACUUAACCCAGGUGAAAUUAGCAAAGAUAUAUCAUACAAAUGAUAACCAGUGUUGGAAAUGCAAAGAAAAAGAAGGUACCUUUUAUCAUAUUUGGUGGACGUGUCCCAAGGUGAAAGACUUCUGGGAAAAGAUUUAUAAUGAGUUGAAAAAAAUGUUGAAGAUUACAUUUAUUAAGAAACCAGAAGCCUUUCUACUUGGAAUACUAGGACUGGAAUUGCCCCAAAAAGAUGCUAGACUGUUUUUGUAUGCCACUACAGCGGCAAGGACGCGGGUGGCGCUGUGGGUAAAACCUCAGCACCUAGGACUUGCCGAUCGUAUGGUCGGUGGUUCGAAUCCCCGCGGUGGGGUGAGCGCCCGUCCCAGCUCCUGCCCACCUAGCAGUUCGAAAGCACUCUUAAGUGCAAGUAGAUAAAUAGGUACCGCUUUAUAGCGGGAAGGUAAACGGCGUUUCCAUGUGCUGCGCUGGUGCUGGCUCGCCAGAGCAGCUUCGUCACGCUGGCCACGUGACCCGGACGUGUCUCUGGACAGCGCUGGCCUCCGGCCUCUUAAGUGAGAUGGGCGCACAACCCUAGAGUCGGACACGACUGGCCCGUACGGGCAGGGGUACCUUUACAGCGGCAAGACUUUUAUUAGCCAAAAACUGGAAAUCGCAAGAAAUACCAACAAUAUAAGAAUGGCAGAUUAAGAUGUUGGAAUUUUUGGAGCUGGCUGACCUGACUGGAAGAAUCCGCGAUCAGAAGGAAGAGGAGAUACAAGAGGAUUGGAAUAAAUUUAAAGAAUAUUUAGCUAAAUAUUGUAAUAUAAGAUAAUUAGAAAAUUCUUGGAAGUAAUGAAUAGGCUUAGGGGUAGAAUAAGAAUAUGUGGUAGUAAAUAUUAAAGACUAGAAUAUAAAAAAGAAGAAGAGGUUAGUAAAUGAAAGGAGUUAAUAUUAUUAGAAAUACGAACUUGGAGAAUUGUUAUAAAGGUGAUAUAAUGAAAUUCAGAGAGGGGACUCGAGGAAGUCAGUCAUCAAUGUGAUGAAAGUUGGAUAUUUGAAGAGAUAAUCUUUUUUUCUUGUGUGUUUAGUUUAUUGUAGUGUGGUGUGUUUUUUUUCUUUGUUGUGUAUUUUGUUAUGUUAUUUUUGUGAUAAAUGUUGAAAAUCAAUUAAAAAAUUUGGGGGAAAAUAAAGACUGUCUCAAGGCAAAUCUAAAAAAAUGUAGUAUAAACACUGACAACUGGGGAACACUGGCCUGCGAGCACUCCAGUUGGAGAACAGCCUUUACCAAAGGUGCCAUGGGCUUUGAAGACACUCAAACUCAGGGCCAAAGGGAGGAAUGAGCUAAGAGGAAGGCACAUUUGCCAAACCCUCACCGUGAUCAACUCCCGCCCGGAAACCAAUGUCCCCACUGUGGAAGGACGUGUGGAUCUACAAAUGGCCUCCACAGUCACUUAUGGACUCAUUGUUAAAACCAUGUUUAUGGAAGACAAUCUUACUCGAAUACGAGUGAUCACCAAAGAAGAAGAAAGAAGACUUCCAUCUGUAAUCAUCUGAGCCCCUUCUUCGUGUGCCUCCUCAAGAACUCUUGAUGGUGGCAGCAGGAGAACAAUCUUUUCCUGCAAUGGCUCCCCAUUUGUGGAAUGCUCUCCACAAUGGUGCCUUAUUUACCGUAUUUUUUGCUCUAUAAGACUCACUUUUUCCCUCCUAAAAAGUAAGGGGAAAUGUGUGUGCGUCUUAUGGAGCGAAUGCAAGCUGCGCAGCUAUCCCAGAAGCCAGAACAGCAAGAGGGAUUGCUGCUUUCA